GGGAAACUGCCCGAUGGAGGGGGAUAACUACUGGAAACGGUAGCUAAUACCGCAUAACGUCUUCGGACCAAAGUGGGGGACCUUCGGGCCUCACACCAUCGGAUGUGCCCAGAUGGGAUUAGCUAGUAGGUGGGGUAAUGGCUCACCUAGGCGACGAUCCCUAGCUGGUCUGAGAGGAUGACCAGCCACACUGGAACUGAGACACGGUCCAGACUCCUACGGGAGGCAGCAGUGGGGAAUAUUGCACAAUGGGCGCAAGCCUGAUGCAGCCAUGCCGCGUGUAUGAAGAAGGCCUUCGGGUUGUAAAGUACUUUCAGCGGGGAGGAAGGCGAUGUGGUUAAUAACCGCGUCGAUUGACGUUACCCGCAGAAGAAGCACCGGCUAACUCCGUGCCAGCAGCCGCGGUAAUACGGAGGGUGCAAGCGUUAAUCGGAAUUACUGGGCGUAAAGCGCACGCAGGCGGUCUGUUAAGUCAGAUGUGAAAUCCCCGGGCUCAACCCGGGAACUGCAUUUGAAACUGGCAGGCUUGAGUCUCGUAGAGGGGGGUAGAAUUCCAGGU
rnacentral:rRNA from 1 species